rnacentral:lncRNA from 1 species
CACGCAGCUAGGCCAAAGAAAGACGCCCGGAGCCGAAAUUCACUCGGUCAGCCGUCAGGGUGUGUUAGCACAUUAGAAAAGACUAAUCAGCUCAUGAAUUCCAAGGAUAAGGAGACUAGCUCGUGCUGGCCAAAGAAUUCAAAGGAUGCAAGAACUUUUCUCACAGGUUCUUUUCACUGGAAAGGAUGACGAUGUAUCAUCAUUAAUCAUUAACUAAUCGAGGUUAGUUGGUGCCAAAUCCAUCCAGUAACAGUGCUUCUGUUGCGACAAACCUGCGGACUGAAAGGCACAUAGCCAGCCAGCAGAGGCCAUGUUUACUUCCCUCCAAACUUCCAACUUUGACACUAUGCAAAAAGAAGAUUCUCC